rnacentral:rRNA from 1 species
UUAAGCAUAUCAAUAAGCGGAGGAAAAGAAACUAACAAGGAUUCCCCUAGUAACGGCGAGUGAAGCGGGAAAAGCUCAAAUUUGUAAUCUGGCGCCUUUGGCGUCCGAGUUGUAAUCUCGAGAAGUAUUUUCCGCGCUGGACCGCACAUAAGUCUGUUGGAAUACAGCGUCAUAGUGGUGAGAACCCCGUAUAGGGUGCGGAUGCCCAGUGCUUUGUGAUAUACUUUCGAAGAGUCGAGUUGUUUGGGAAUGCAGCUCAAAUUGGGUGGUAAAUUCCAUCUAAAGCUAAAUAUUGGCGAGAGACCGAUAGCGAACAAGUACCGUGAGGGAAAGAUGAAAAGCACUUUGGAAAGAGAGUUAACAGUACGUGAAAUUGUUGGAAGGGAAACGCUUGAAGUCAGACUUGCAUUUUGGAGUUCAGCCGCAAGGUGUAUUCUUCAAUUCGCAGGCCAGCAUCAGUUUUGGGGGGUGGAAAAUCGUGGUUUGAAGGUAGCAGUCUCGGCUGUGUUAUAGCUUUCCACUGGAUUCACUUUUCGGGACUGAGGAACGCAGUACGCUUUUUGCAAGAUUCUCGGAUCUUUCGUACUUAGGAUGCUGGUGGAAUGGCUUUAAACGACCCGUCUUGAAACACGGACCA